rnacentral:tRNA from 2 species
GGCGGCGUAGCUCAGUUGGUUAGAGCGAGGGUCUCAUAAUCCCUAGGUCCGGCGUUCGAGUCGCCGCGCCGCCACCA